GGCCUCGUGGCUUAAUGGAGAAGGCGUCUGACUUCGGAUCAGAAGAUUCCAGGUUCGAGCCCUGGCCGGGUCG
rnacentral:tRNA from 1 species